UCGUACGCGAACGACCUUUCGGGGUUAAGUAGAGUGGCGAACGGGUUAGUAACGCGUGGGAACAUACACAGCACAGGGGGAUAACCAUUGGAAACGAUGGCUAAUACCGCGUACGCCCUAUUGGGGAAAGAUUUAUCGGUGUUGGAUUGGCCCGCGUUAGAUUAGCUAGUUGGUGGGGUAAUGGCUCACCAAGGCGACGAUUUAUAGCUGGUUUGAGAGGAUGAUCAGCAACACUGGAACUGAGACACGGUCCAGACUCCUACGGGAGGCAGCAGUCGGGAAUAUUGUGCAAUGGGGGCAACCCUGACACAGCCAUGCCGCGUGAGUGAAGAAGGCCUUAGGGUUGUAAAGCUCUUUCAGAUGUGAGGAUGAUGACGAUAGCAUUAGAAGAAGCUCCGGCUAACUUCGUGCCAGCAGCCGCGGUAAUACGAAGGGAGCUAGCGUUGUUCGGAAUUACUGGGCGUAAAGGGCGUGUA
rnacentral:rRNA from 1 species